CCUACGGGUGGCAGCAGUGAGGAAUAUUGGUCAAUGGACGAGAGUCUGAACCAGCCAAGUAGCGUGAAGGAUGACUGCCCUAUGGGUUGUAAACUUCUUUUAUAUGGGAAUAAAAUGUUCCACGUGUGGGAUUUUGUAUGUACCAUAUGAAUAAGGAUCGGCUAACUCCGUGCCAGCAGCCGCGGUAAUACGGAGGAUCCGAGCGUUAUCCGGAUUUAUUGGGUUUAAAGGGAGCGUAGGUGGAUUGUUAAGUCAGUUGUGAAAGUUUGCGGCUCAACCGUAAAAUUGCAGUUGAUACUGGCAGUCUUGAGUACAGUAGAGGUGGGCGGAAUUCGUGGUGUAGCGGUGAAAUGCUUAGAUAUCACGAAGAACUCCGAUUGCGAAGGCAGUUCACUAAACUGCAACUGACACUGAGGCUCGAAAGUGUGGGUAUCAAACAGGAUUAGAUACCCGGGUAGUC
rnacentral:rRNA from 1 species